GGGGCUGAGGGCACAGCCAGCGGGCGGCGCGCCGCGGACUCCAAGGCAGCCCGCCAAAAGAAUCCUGAACAUCAUCAUAAAAAGACAGUCACCAGUCCUGCUCAUCUGGAGGACUGUUCUCACAAUCUUCAGCAAGGAGAUAAAACAGAGUACUGCAGAGAUGAAGUAACUUGCCCUAAGACCCAUACCUGAGUAUAAUUUUCUGAAUGUGCAGUUCAACCACUUCAUACUGGAG
rnacentral:lncRNA from 1 species